GAACGCUGGCGGCGUGCCUAACACAUGCAAGUCGAACGAGAAAGUCCUCGGGGCGAGUACAGUGGCGCACGGAUGAGUAACGCGUGGAUAAUCUACCCAAAGGUCUGGAAUAACAGUUGGAAACGACUGAUAAUACCGGAUGUACUGGCAACGGGAAAGGUGGCCUCUGCUUGCAAGCUACUGCCUUUGGAUGAGUCCGCGUCUCAUUAGCUAGACGGUAGGGUAACGGCCUACCGUGGCAACGAUGAGUAGCAGGCCUGAGAGGGUGGCCUGCCACACUGGGACUGGAACACGGCCCAGACUCCUACGGGAGGCAGCAGUGGGGAAUAUUGCGCAAUGGGGGAAACCCUGACGCAGCGACGCCGCGUGGAGGAAUGAAGGCUUUCGGGUCGUAAACUCCUGUCAAGAGGGAAGAAACCUGUGAAGAGUAAUAUGCUUCGCAAUUGACGGUACCUCUAGAGGAAGCACCGGCUAAUUCCGUGCCAGCCGCAGC
rnacentral:rRNA from 1 species